rnacentral:tRNA from 1 species
GCCUGGGUGGCUCAGUCGGUCGAGCGUUGGAUUUCAGCUCAGGUCAUGGUCUCGAGGUUCGUGGGUUCGAGCCCCGCGUCAGGCU